GAUGAAGAACGCAGUGAAAUGCGAUAAGUAGUGUGAAUUGCAGAAUUCAGUGAAUCAUCGAAUCUUUGAACGCACAUUGCGCCCUUUGGUAUUCCAAAGGGCAUGCCUGUUCGAGCGUCAUUUGUACCCUCAAGCUUUGCUUGGUGUUGGGCGUCUUGUCUCUAGCUUUGCUGGAGACUCGCCUUAAAGUAAUUGGCAGCCGGCCUACUGGUUUCGGAGCGCAGCACAAGUCGCACUCUCUAUCAGCAAAGGUCUAGCAUCCAUUAAGCCUUUUUUUCAACUUUUGACCUCGGAUCAGGUAGGGAUACCCGCUGAACUUAAGCAUAUCAAUAAACGGAGGA
rnacentral:misc_RNA from 1 species